GGAAGCGUGCCUGAGAGGCUUAUAGGACAGAAUUGCUAAUUCUGCGAGUGUUUUAAAACGCUCCGGGGGUUCGAAUCCCCCCGCUUCCG
rnacentral:tRNA from 1 species